ensembl:lncRNA
GAGAAUGGUCAGCCUCACCUCUGUACCAUGGAAAAGAUCCUCCCAGAAGCUAUGUUGAUAUAUGUAUGUGGAAAUGGGUAUGGAGAUGAUUUGAGAUAACCUACAUGGCUUCACAAAAACAAAUUGUGCCACCUACUGGCCUAUGGUGAGUGAUUGCAUCAGUGAGUUGCUGUCAACAGCUCAAUAUCUACAUGGAGAUAAAUGAUCAGUAGUGGUCCUCAAAGGGCAGAUAUUGUUUAAUAUUUUUAGUAAUGACAGUGGAUUUGAGUGCACUGUCAGCAAGUUUGCAGAUGACAGCAAGCUGAGUGGUAUGCUUGACAUGAUAGAUGGAAGGAAUGAUAUUUACAUGCAGAGUUGAGAAAUGGGACUACAUAAUCCUCAGCAAGGCCAGAUGAGGUGCAUCUGGGUGAGGGCAACCCCAAACAUCAGUAUGGACUGGGUGAUUAAGGGCAAUUGUGUGAAGAAGGACUUGGUGUACUGGUGGGUGGAAAGCUGCUGUAAAGUCUUCCUGUGUAGCUCCUGAGAAAUCAACAAGUAGGCCAUCUUAUUGCUAGAAGUAAAACCAAUUAUCAUUACUCUUUCUCACGUUAACUCAAAUAACAAAUCUCUCCAAAAUUACACAUCAUAACAAUAAAUAUAUAAAUAACUAAGCAAAGUCCACUCAUUUGGUGCAAUCGCAUAUAUUAAUAAGACUGCUUUAGAAUAGUCAGAAGUGCCAUCUGCUGCUACACACAAGAAUCUCACUCUCUCAGUCACCUCUGGGAGGAAAGGAACUCAUGUUUAAGCAGUAGCAUCUGUGUUUUUAGGAAAAUAAUAAACUCAAUAUUCAGCUCAUACCAAAGUCAGAUGUAGUCAUUGUAGGCAUUGGAUUUACUUUUAAUCAUAAUGUAACCUUACACAAGCACAUUUUUCAUUGCUUCUCUUAAUAUUUAAUGUGCUUACAAGGACUUUACAAUCUACAAGGUCUGCUCCAAAACUAAUGGCUUCUAUUUUAUGUUGGUGCACAAUGUUAGAGGCAGAUGCUGAUAGGAUGGCAGCAGAGGUUGAACCUUCCCACCAAUAUCCCAUUACAUGUUGUUGCUGUGUGACAGAUGGCAGCAGAGGGGACAUCUGACAGAAUGGAGUCUGCCAUGGUAGUGUGCAUGGAACAAAGCCCAUCAUCAUGGAACAUCAUCUUUGACUUUUAGGAUGUGAGAAGGAGUUGAAUUUAGUAAGAUACGCUGCACGGAUAAAGCAUGAUGAGUCAAAGUGAGCAGUAUCUAGAGCAUGACCAAGGAACAGUAGAAUAAAGGAUUCAGCCUGAAAAGUCGUGUGUAUAUAUAUAUAUAUAUGUGUGUGUAUGUGUGUGUGUGUAUAUAUGUAUAUGUGUGUGUGUGUAUGUGUGUGUGUAUAAAUAAAAAGGCUACAACCUGCUGGAGGUGCUUAACCCUUUUCCAUUCAUAACAGAGUAAACCUGGAUGUGUCACCACCAGAACUUAGCUUGCUAGCAAUGGGAUCUAUCAGUGCUGCUCCAAAAGUCACCAGUGUUUGUGUCAAUGAGGUGUGGGAAAUGGUGGGGUACACAUGGAGCUGAAACUCCUGCAUCUCAUAGAAUCAAAGAAUCAUUAAGGUUGAAAAAUACCUCUAAGAUCACAAAGUCCAACCUCACCCUAUCCUCACCAUACCCACUGAUCAUGUCACUCAGUGCCACAUCUCCACCAUCGCCUCCAGGGAUGGUGACCCCCCCCCCCCCCCCAGCUCCCUGGGCAGCCUGUGCCUGUGCAUCACCACUCCUUCUGAGAAGAACUUUUUUGUAACAUCCAACCUGAGGGGCUCUCGCAGAGGAUGCUCAAGGAGGGGAUCCUGCAGUGCUAGAAGAAGG